UGGAGCCGCUCUGGGAAGAGCAGAAGGUUUCAAGUUCCCUCCCUGGCAUCUCCAAGAUAGGGCUGAGAGAGAGUCCUGCCUGCAACCUUGCAGAAGCCACUGCCAGUCUGUGAAGACAUUACUGAGCUAGAUAGACCAAUGGUCUGACUCAGUAUAUGGCAGUUUCCUAUGUUCUAUGUUCCUAUGUCUUUUCUUCUGUCUACCUGGAGGAAGGUCAAGCUGCACAAGGAGAAUGCAGGAUCCUGCAAGGAAACAGCUGACUGUGAUGAGGGCAUAAUCAAGAAAGGCCUGGUCUCCACUUGGCCUAGCAGCCUUCCCUGAGCUGGGCCUGUGCCAAAGUAAAAGUGCCCAGGAGAAGGAGUGGGAAUCGGAAAAGAAUGAAGGCGAAGCAAGCAAUGGAGGAUCCUGAUAGCUGUGUCUCCUGAUCCAUACUACAGUCCUGUAAGUGUUGAAGAACCUCUUGAAUUUGUCUUCCCAGAAGAUGGAGAGCAAAGAAGAGCUUCCCUUUCAACAUCUAACAAAGGAUCCCAUCCUGCUUCUGAUGCACUGUUAUCAACGCGAGUGCUGAGGGUUGCCUCGGCCGGGUAAAUAUGCAUUGACACAAUGACAAAUCUCUCCGGUGGCUGAGCGGAAUGGUGGGCCCUAGAGAAGGCAGGAAGAGGCUGAGGAGAGCAACCCCACAACAGAUGCCCAUUCCCUUUUUGACUAGGUUUGCAAAAGCCUCGUGUACACUCAAGGUCAUGAGGCUUUUGCAAAGAGGGGGCAUAGUUUCCCGGGAAACGACUUCACCCCAGGAGUGGAAUCCACACCUUAGUUUACAGAGCUCCCUUCAAACUAGUUACUGAAGUUGCAGCCCAGGUUUGCACCCGUUCCCUCUGUCCCAUCUCUUGAUUCCGAGUCUGGGUCCCCACCCCACCCCUUCCCCUGGCUCUGCAUCCAGUGCGGGGUGCAAAUGUCAUGUCCAGUCCUGGCAGGGUGCAAGAAACAAGGCUGGACCCCACAGUGAACCAUUCUGUAAGGCCAAGCAGGGGGGCAGAGGGUGCGCUAGUGAAAGCGAUCCCCGCCCUCUCUUGGCCUUCUGCAGGGACACCUUGGCAUCCACUCACCCCCCUCAGGUGACAGUGUGGGACUAGCCGGUCGCCAUUUGGGGCCGAGUAGGAAUUUUCCCCAUCCACCCGGAUUGGCCUGGAGGUGGCUGGUUUUUUGCCUACUCUGCACUGUUGCACUGGAAGGGAUUUCUGAUCUGGCGGAUGUUAGGAGUGGUGCCGCUAAAUAGUGUAGCCCCUUGGUCACCAUGGCAGGUCCGAGGAGGGGAUGUAGUGCCCCACCCCAUUGGUGGCAGGUGCGAUUUCCCCCAGCUACACUCUAGUUCUCUGCUAAAAUGAGUCAAUAAAGUGAUGGCCCUAGUUUCAACCCA